AUACGUAGGUGACAAGCGUUAUCCGGAUUUACUGGGCGUAAAGGGCGUGUAGGCGGUCUUGCAAGUCAGAAGUGAAAUUCCUGAGCUCAACUCGGGCGCUGCUUCUGAAACUGCAGGACUUGAGUGCUGGAGGGGAUAGCGGAAUUCCUAGUGGAGCGGUAAAAUGCGCAGAUAUUAGGAAGAACACCGGUGGCGAAGGCGGCUAUCUGGACAGUAACUGACGCUGAGGCGCGAAAGCGUGGGGAGCAAACAGGAUUAGAUACCCGGGUAGUCCACGCCGUAAACGAUGAGUACUAGGUGUAGGGGGUAUCGACUCCCUCUGUGCCGCAGUUAACACAAUAAGUAUUCCGCCUGGGGAGUACGGCCGCAAGGUUGAAACUCAAAGGAAUUGGCGGGG
rnacentral:rRNA from 1 species